GUCUAUGGCCAUACCUCCCUGAAUGUGCUCGAUCUCAUCUGAUCUCAGAAGCUAAGCUUGGUUAGUACUUCAGUGGAAAGAGGCAAUGGCUU
rnacentral:rRNA from 1 species